AUUCCUACCUGGCAGGGGUGAUACCAUGAUCACAAAGGCAGUUUUCCCAGAGUGAAGCUUACCCAUGGCACUCUGGAUGUGCUGACUCCUGCGAUUUCCUCACAUGCAGGAAACUUGAUUGCAUAAUGUGUGGUAAUAAUGGAGUAAUGGUAUUUGGGUGUUCCCCAGAA
ensembl:snRNA U1 U1 spliceosomal RNA